GCCCGGCUAGCUCAGUCGGUAGAGCAUGAGACUCUUAAUCUCAGGGGUCGUGGGUUCGAGCCUUACGUUGGGCG
rnacentral:tRNA from 1 species